rnacentral:rRNA from 1 species
UACAGAGGUCUCAAGCGUUGUUCGGAAUCACUGGGCGUAAAGGGUGCGUAGGCGGCGGAGUAAGUCGGGUGUGAAAUUUGAAGGCUCAACCUUCAACUAGCACCUGAUACUGCUUUGCUUGAGGUCUGAAGAGGAGCUUGGAAUUCUCGGUGUAGCAGUGAAAUGCGUAGAUUUCGAGAAGAACGCUCGCAGCGAAGGCGAAGCUCUGGUCAGAUUCUGACGCUGAGGCACGAAGGCUAGGGGAGCAAACGGG